ensembl:rRNA 5S_rRNA 5S ribosomal RNA
ACUUGCUGCAUUACUGACUCAUGGGACAUCUCAAGAAGACAGUGUUACUCAGAAGCUAAGCAAGGUCAGGCCUGGUUAGUACUUGGAUGGGAGACCACCUAGGAAUACCAGGUGCUGUAGGUG